rnacentral:rRNA from 1 species
AUACGAAGGGUGCAAGCGUUAAUCGGAAUUACUGGGCGUAAAGCGCGCGUAGGUGGUUCGUUAAGUUGGAUGUGAAAGCCCCGGGCUCAACCUGGGAACUGCAUCCAAAACUGGCGAGCUAGAGUAUAGCAGAGGGUGGUGGAAUUUCCUGUGUAGCGGUGAAAUGCGUAGAUAUAGGAAGGAACACCAGUGGCGAAGGCGACCACCUGAGCUAAUACUGACACGGAGGUGCGAAGGCGUGGGGAGAAAACAGAAUUAGAUACCCUGGGAGUCCACGCCGUAAACGAUGUCGACUAGCCGUUGGGAUCCUUGAGAUCUUAGUGGCGCAGCUAACGCAUUAAGUCGACCGCCUGGGGAGUACGGCCGCAAGGUUAAAACUCAAAUGAAUUGACGGGG